UGUAUGCCGCUAGCUAUGUGUAUAUUGAUGUUGGAUUAUUAGCUCUCAAUGUAUAGUUGAUAGAUUUGCUAAAGCUCAUGUCAGAUUGUUGUUUUUUUUUUUUUUUUGAGCAAAUGUCAGAUUGUUGUUGCAGCUUGAACGAGCAUGAAAAUCCCUCAGCUGGGAUGAAAAAAUGAUGGCUACAACCAUCUCAGUCUCAAUCCAGCAAGCAAACUCAGCGCCGUGAUGUGGUAGUGUCACACGGCGGCGCUGGGAUAUGGGGAGGAGGAGUAAGGCUGCGGCAGCGCGGCGGAGAGGGAGGCGGCAGUCAGGUGGGCGUCCCACGCCGCAGCCAGCUUUGGAUUCUCCGCACUCAUCGGCUCGUUUGCUGCCGCGUACCUCGAUGACGCAUUCCAGCCUGUCGGCAAGCACUGGCCAGCCAUCGCAUGCAUCGCGCUCGCGGCCAAGUUACCUCUUGCGUUGUAGGUGUUCGGCAAUAUGCCCCUUCGGUACAGCAGUUGCCUUUCUCAGAACGCGAGGCUUAAAUUUCGUUGGGAAAGAAAGUGAGACAUAAUCCACGCGGAAUACUCAAAUAUCCUCACUUUUGUAGCCAUAUAAUGCCGAAUACUCAUUUGGAGCAACUAUAUUAUCUUAUGCAUUCAAUGCCUUUAUGAAUCAAGGUCACCCAACCAACUAUAUUAUCUUGUGAAUUUUUUUUCCGUUGCCACGCAUAGGUAUUUAACUAUAAGUUCAAAAAUAUGAUCUCAUUUUUUUUUAUGAAGCUUCGAUUGUGUAAUUAGAAUCUUCUUGUGGAACAAUACAACAUUUGUGGGAAAUGUCAUUAGCUGUCAUGAAUAUCCGGCAGGGAUGUGGUAGCAAUGUGGUAGCAUGUGAAGCUGCUUAUUCAGAACCAGGAUGAAAUGAUCAAGGCUUGUAGGCUGCCAGAUCCAUACAAGGGUACUGGUGACUGAUUUAAACGCACCAACAAGGAUGAGGGUUUCACCUCCUUGUGGAGGGGAACAUUGCUAAUGU